UACAGAGGGUGCGAGCGUUAAUCGGAGUUACUGGGCGUAAAGGGCGCGUAGGCGGCCCGCUAAGUCGAACGUGAAAUCCCCGAGCUCAACUCGGGAACUGCGUCCGAUACUGGCGGGCUUGAAUCCGGGAGAGGGAUGCGGAAUUCCAGGUGUAGCGGUGAAAUGCGUAGAUAUCUGGAGGAACACCGGUGGCGAAGGCGGCAUCCUGGACCGGCAUUGACGCUGAGGCGCGAAAGCUAGGGGAGCAAACGGG
rnacentral:rRNA from 1 species